UUUUUUUAUUCAUACUGUCUGGUUCUGUGCAAAGUGUUUGGCAAGAUCUGACUGUUUAGACGUUGAAAGUGCUUUGCAUUGGAUUACAACAUUAAGGUCCUCUUGUGUUUUAUCCUGAGAAAAAUCCCCCUUUUCCCUCCAGGGGUGUUAUGUGUAACAUAUACAGUAUAUGACUGAUUAUCCAACAAGCACAAGAAUGAAGCAGAAUUUUAAUGAAUGCAUCUUAAAUUACAAAGCAAUUGUGGCUGCUGAAGCUCCUGUAAUGUCUGCUGGGAUAGCCAUGUUUACCACCCUCAACCUCAGGCUGUUCCCCAUUGAGAGCUUCAUGCCCAACAAGGGUGCAGCACACCGAAUCCCCCCUGAUUCAGGAGCUCAUGUAAACAACCUGCGGGCAGCACCUCCUCUCCCCAGACUGUACCCGGUUACUAAGAUCUCAUACUGCUCCCAUAAAGAACACCUCCAGAUUUCUCCAGAAGUCUUUUUUAUUUCUUUUACAGGGACAUCUGUAAACUCAGCUGUGUUGGAUUGCGACAUGGCCUUUAUCAGAAAAUUGGGGUGUGCAGUUAAGCCAUCUAUAUACAGGAGAUUACAUGCCUCAUUGCUCCCGUCCUCCAUCACAGACUGAGCAGAGCAUAUGCAUUGAGUUGCGCUGUGUUUACCACAACCACGCGGUCUCUCCAUUACAGAAGAACGCUGUGAUGACAGGUAUUCCAGUCCCUGAUUUUGAGCCCUGUUAUGACAUCUCUCCUCCCUUCUCCACCCACCUGCUUCUUAACGCUGGUCCUUGACUUAAUGUGGCCGUCAUGGUGACUGUCUAGGACAGAUGAGAGCUAAUUGAAAUAGAAGGCUGCUUCUCACUGAUCUAGACUGACAGCAUCCCCUCGCCAGAAGUGACUGUACCACCC
ensembl:lncRNA